rnacentral:sRNA from 1 species
AUUGUUGUUCUUCUUCCUCCUCCGCUUCUUCUUCUUCUUCUCAUU